rnacentral:piRNA from 1 species
UAGAAUCGUUUUAAUAACUGA